rnacentral:rRNA from 1 species
CUACGGGCCGCACCAGUGGGGAAUAUUGCACAAUGGAGGAAGCUCUGAUGCAGCAACGCCGCGUGGAGGAUGACACUUUUCGGAGCGUAAACUCCUUUUAUAUAGGAAGAAGAUGACGGUACUAUAUGAAUAAGCGCCGGCUAACUCCGUGCCAGCAGCCGCGGUAAUACGGAGGGCGCAAGCGUUACUCGGAAUCACUGGGCGUAAAGAGCGUGUAGGCGGAUUAAAAAGUCAGAAGUGAAAUCCUAUAGCUUAACUAUAGAACUGCUUCUGAAACUCUUAAUCUAGAAUAUGGGAGAGGUAGAUGGAAUUUCUGGUGUAGGGGUAAAAUCCGUAGAGAUCAGAAGGAAUACCGAUUGCGAAGGCGAUCUACUAGAACAUUAUUGACGCUGAGACGCAAAAGCGUGGGGAGCAAACAGGAUUAGAUACCCGCGUAGUC